rnacentral:rRNA from 1 species
GAUGAACGCUGGCGGCGUGCUUAACACAUGCAAGUCGAACGAUGAAGCCCAGCUUGCUGGGUGGAUUCGUGGCGAACGGGUGAGUAACACGUGAGUAACCUGCCCUUAACUCUGGGAUAAGCCUGGGAAACUGGGUCUAAUACCGGAUAUGAGCGUCCACCGCAUGGUGGGUGUUGGAAAGAUUUUUCGGUUUUGGAUGGACUCGCGGCCUAUCAGCUUGUUGGUGUGGGAAUGGCUCACCAAGGCGCCGACGGGUAGCCGGCCUGAGAGGGUGACCGGCCACACUGGGACUGAGACACGGCCCAGACUCCUACGGGAGGCAGCAGUGGGGAAUAUUGCACAAUGGGCGGAAGCCUGAUGCAGCGACGCCGCGUGAGGGAUGACGGCCUUCGGGUUGUAAACCGCUUUCAGUAGGGAAGAAGCGAAAGUAACGGUACCUGCAGAAGAAGCACCGGCUAACUACGUG